UUUCGGUUUCGGUUUCCGUAAAGUCCUUAGCAAACAAUUAUAUAUGCAUAUAUAAUAUAUACAUAUUCAUAUAUUUUUCUGAGUUUUUGUUCUUAUGCUAUCACUUCAUGUUCUUAUUGGUUUAGUAGAUUCUCGUUAGGUGGCUUGGUGUCAUGAUCUAGAUUCUUGAGAUGGCUUGAUCUGUUUAUGUGUUUGUGUUCUUGUUCUGCUUAUGUAAUGGGCAUGAUGAUCUGCCUGAUGAUCCUGAGGAAGGUGAAGCGUUUAGUGUAGUAUCUUGUUGUUGUUGUUGUUUUCUCUCUGUAUGAUUUAGGAAACAUGGCCACGCUUUUUAAGUGGAAGAUCGUGUAGAAUUGUUUGAUGGUUCAUUGGUCUUUGAUUCUCUAUAAAGUUUUGAGCUUUACUUGUCUUGUCUUCUUUUUUUUCUUACUGCCUUCAAACUGAUGAUGAUGAUGAUGAUGAUGAUGAUCUUUGUUUCUUUAUAAAGAAUGUAAGAUUUACAAAUACAUGAUCGUAUGGAAUUGCUUGAUGGCUAAUUGCUCUUUGUUUCUUUAUAAAAUAAAUAUAAAAAAAUCUGAGUUUUGGUUUUGAUUAGCUUUGCAGAUUGGGUUUCAAUCUCUUCAAUCCUUUGUUAAUACAGAGGCAACAAGGAUGGAUUGACCAGUCUUUGAGCUUGGAAGUGACCAAUCUUCAUUCUCUUCACAGCAAACAAACGAACAGAAGCAGCUACCUAUGCAUGGAAAGAGAGGAUUACAGAACAAGCAAGCAGUAAGCAGAAUAAAGUAAAAGUUGUAGAGCAGAAUAUCAGCUCUUGGUCAGGGAUUUCCAUUAUUUAUUGCUUCCAGCUGGAAAAUGGAUCGAAGCCAAUGAGUUCUGUUGUGAGUAACAUAGGAGCCAUUGAUGAAUCUUAAAAUCCACUCAGAAAAUAGAGUAAAAAGUUUAUGAUAAUGUGUAUGAGAAAUAAUCUAAGAAAUGUACAUAGACUAGUGAUUAAGAAUGAAAUUUGUAUGUUUUACUGAUAAUAUGAGAAGAUACAUAUUAAUAUAGAGAAUUGUUAUA